rnacentral:rRNA from 1 species
CAGUCGCCGCGGUAAUGCGGAGGGGGCUAGCGUUGUUCGGAAUUACUGGGCGUAAAGCGCACGUAGGCGGCUUGGUAAGUUAGAGGUGAAAGCCCGGGGCUCAACCUCGGAAUUGCCCUCAAAACUGAUGACCUAGAGUACGGGAGAGGUGUGUGGAACUCCGAGUGUAGAGGUGAAAUUCGUAGAUAUUCGGAAGAACACCAGUGGCGAAGGCGACACACUGGCCCGUUACUGACGCUGAGGCGCGAAAGCGUGGGGAGCAAACAGGAUUAGAGACCCCUGUAGUCCCUGUCUCUUAUAA